rnacentral:rRNA from 1 species
UACGUAGGGUGCAAGCGUUAAUCGGAAUUACUGGGCGUAAAGCGUGCGCAGGCGGUUGGGCAAGACCGAUGUGAAAUCCCCGGGCUUAACCUGGGAAUGGCAUUGGUGACUGCACGGCUAGAGUGUGUCAGAGGGGGGUAGAAUUCCACGUGUAGCAGUGAAAUGCGUAGAGAUGUGGAGGAAUACCGAUGGCGAAGGCAGCCCCCUGGGAUAACACUGACGCUCAUGCACGAAAUCGUGGGGAGCAAACAGG